CAGCCGAGGGAGAUCGUGUGGCAGCCAUCUCGCGUCGCCACGAAAACACGACAGUCGUUCGUCAUGCCUUGGAUAUAACAACAAAUCCUCCACGGCACCCGCUUUAUAUAACGCAAGAAGGCAGCUGCAAGGACACGAGGAUGUGAAAGAGCCAGUGCAGCGCGACUUCACGUAGUGUAGAGGAGCCAAUGCCAAAAAAUCAAAAUACAUUGGCAUGUUAUUUGGACAAGAAAACUAGUAUGUGGGUAUAUUGGGUGUACCAUUUGACCAAAUGUCAACAAAAUCAAGAUACAGUAUGUUACACGAAGAUGAAAAUUCUCACGUGCUCCAGGCAGUCAUCUUAACAUAGUAUAUUUAUGUAAUGUCUCUGAUUGGAAAGUCAAAUCAAGUAUGCUCACUGGAGACAAACACAUAGCAGCAAGUGUCAUUGAAAAGUUAAAAAUGUGUUUUAAGAAAGCUGAUUAGUUCUGAGAAGUGACUGCUUUUUGUCUUGCCUCUCAACACAUAUAUCCAUGUGAUAAAAAAUAGUGGUACAAUGAAAUUGCAUAUUUGCUUAGCGACAUGAUACAUACUUGCAAUGAGCACGGUGCCUGUGUUUACUACAGAAAGCAACAGCCCAUGCUUGGUUAGGUUAGGCCCACUGCAACAUGCAGGCAUGGGUGAUUGGCGCUUUUUUUAUUUCUGUAUCGUGAGGUUUAUUGACGUGCGUAUAGGUGCAGUGGCACGCAGUAUGGCUAGUACAAAAAAGGGGGGGGGGGGGCAGAUAUAUGUAGCUCACUGUACACGAUACAGGGCAGAGGAAAUCCGUGUUCAGCAACUAUGUUAAAUGCCAUGUACGUAAAUUUUACAACGCUACUCGUUCGAAGCGCGCACAGGUGCAUAUUGAAGAAAAGUUUCCAGGGUAAAUAAUUUAGUUCGUAAUUUACACUAAUUUUGCUCUAACCACUAGACAUAAUAAUUUGAAUAUACUGCACGGAAAAACCUAGAGCGAAUUAAAUUGUGUGUCAGCUUCGUGUGUAUACAUAUAGUCUUCCCUAUGCAUUAGGUUUUUUGCGUAAUGCAUUAACAGUUGACAGCCUAUCUUAUGAUGUGUACUCUGUUUACAUUACAGUUGUUUAUUAGUUUACUCGUUUGUUUUGCGACUGAUGAAAUGCCGGCAUAUAUAUAUUUUCAACAUUUGACAUAACCCUGUAUGUUUUGCAGGGACAACCCAGGACGUGCAUUUCUCAGCACCCAGUCAACUGCCAAAAGUGACUCAAACACAGGCCACCAGAGACAAUGCCUACGAAAUUAUUGGCCCUGAUCAUGAGAGCCCUCAAGGGGCAAACAACAUCUCUGUUGCAGAAGUGAGCCCGGUACCACUUGGAAGUUACCAUGACAGAUGACACGGCAGCAAUAGAUACAGAGACUGCCACGUCUACUGCAGCUGCAACAGUGUACGAGGCAAGCAGCAGCGCGUCAGCAGCAGUGUCAGAAGGAACCACACCAGGCCUGGUAGAGCAACAUGUGUGCUAUCACUGACUUUUUUUGUAGUGGAUACAACUCAUUUGCUCAACAUACAAAAGCUUUUCACCACGACUGUGAGCCAGUGUUAUUGUGCAGCAAGUGCAAGACUAAGUUAAGUGUUAUAGCACAGUACAAGCAUCACUUUAACAUAUGAAAACAUAUUACAGUUGUUGCCUCCCCAGCCAGCCCACAUAGCCACAACAAUGUUGAACACAUGGUGGGACACACAUCUUCUAAAUUAGA